UGGACUGAAUCAGAGCUUGAGUUUCUGGUCUCCGACACCCACAUCCCUCUGCAUCAACUCCAAGGAAAAUGCCCGCUUGACCCUCUUUUUCCUCACAGCGACCCUCUCCACGACGAGACUGAGUCCUCACUCAGCCGCAGCUGGCAACAUGCGACACAUUAUGAAAUUAAACGUCUGCUACUCCCAAAUCUUACUUUUAGGUGUCGGGGAGAAGGGAUCCCAGCGAAAGGAAAUGUAAAAUGGGUGCACGAGGACCGUGGAGACUCGAACUGUUGCUGAUGGCAUGAUGUAGAUUCCCAGAAAACCACCAUGCAACACGAAGCUUUAAAGGAACCCUCAUAAAAGACACAUGUGUGAUGUGAAGAAGGAGGAGAGAUUGGCUCGAUGUAGCCAGGAGUCAAGGAAUGCUGAUCGCUGCUGGAAUGCGGAUGGCCAGCAGGCACUACUGAGACCGAAGGAGACAUGUCCCCGGCACAGCCAUGUUGACACUUUGACUUCCGGCCUCCAGGCCUGGAGGAACAUUGUUGUCGCUUUGAGCAACCCAGUUGCUGGAACUUGUUACAGCAGCCACAGAAGGUUGCAGCUGUCUUUAAUGUGCUGAGACUGUGUUCUACACAUUUCCUGAUAUAUGACAGUCAUGAUUUUUUUAUUUAAUGCUACUUCCAACUGCCAACAUUAGACAGUUAUUACAUGCAUGUAUGUAUGUGUAUGGGUGUGCUACGUGUGGAAGGCAGAGGAACUUGCAGGAAUUGGGCCUUUUGUUACACAUGUGGGCCUUGGGGACUGAACUCACAGCAUCAGACUUACCCACUGAGCCCUCCCAAGCCUUUUACCCCCCAUCUUGAGUCAUCAAGCUCAAUCAGGCUGUGCAUUUUACUCACUGCAUUUUAUUUGUGGAGCUCCAGGGACACAAAGGGUUGUUGGAGUGUGGUACCUGAUCAAUGAUCUCUGCCAGUUCAUGUCUAGCCCUGGAGACCUGUGUGCCUUUACCAGCCAGCUGAAAAGAAACAGAUUUAUUCUAGCUUCACACAUGUUGGAACAAAAUGCUAGGGUCUGUAGAGAAUGGAACAGUGUGCUGUCUUAAGAGGAAUUGGAGUCAAGUGGCACUUUUGAGCAAUGGCACUGGCGUACAUUUUAAAAGCUGCUCAUGGGACAGACUUUAUUUCCAAUCUACAACCAUUAAAAAGGAUUUGUAAGUUCACAUUGUACAGUUCUCAUGUUUGAAAUAAGACACAGGGCAAAGACAGCUGGUGGACUAGAUUGUGGUCCUCCUGGCACCCAAUCCACCCUGGGAAGGAGCCUUUGAAAGCAGAACAUAAGGAAGAGGAGGA